rnacentral:rRNA from 1 species
UACGGGGGGAGCAAGCGUUGUUCGGAUUUACUGGGCGUAAAGGGCGCGUAGGCGGUCAGCACAAGUCAGUUGUGAAAUCUCCGAGCUUAACUCGGAAAGGUCAACUGAUACUGUGCGACUAGAGUGCAGAAGGGGCAACUGGAAUUCUCGGUGUAGCGGUCAAAUGCGUAGAUAUCGAGAGGAACACCUGCGGCGAAGGCGGGUUGCUGGGCUGACACUGACGCUGAGGCGCGAAAGCUAGGGGAGCGAACGGG